CUGGUGACUUUGAUUGUGCUCUGAUGUACCCAGACUUUGGUCUGGUUAACACUAUUCCAGGAACUUCACAGCCAUUUACAGUUGAGAGAUAUAAGGAAGCAAUUGGAAGGCCUUAUAAUCGAGUCAACUUGUACUUGUGCAAGGUCUCUGACUUAAUUUGAAAUUGCCAAUGAUAUUGAGAAUACUGAAGAUGAAUCUCUGGGACCACACAGCUCCCCAACAAUUAACUCUCAGGACUGGAAUAGCAACCAAACUAUGUUAACUCCUAACAAGCAGGCAAUUUUUUGCUAUGAUUACCAAACAAGUACCUCUGAAACCCAAGCGAGUAUCUCC